UACAGAGGUCUCAACCGUUGUUCGGAUUCAUUGGGCGUAAAGGGUGCGUAGGCGGUCGUGCAAGUCGGAUGUGAAAUCUCAGGGCUCAACCCUGAAACUGCAUUCGAUACUGCGUGGCUAGAGUGCUGGAGAGGAGACUGGAAUUUACGGUGUAGCAGUGAAAUGCGUAGAUAUCGUAAGGAAGACCAGUGGCGAAGGCGAGUCUCUGGACAGCAACUGACGCUGAGGCACGAAGGCCAGGGAGCGAAACGGG
rnacentral:rRNA from 1 species